rnacentral:rRNA from 1 species
CCUACGGGCGGCAGCAGUGGGGGAUAUUGCACAAUGGGGGAAACCCUGAUGCAGCGACGCCGCGUGGGCGAAGAAGUAUUUCGGUAUGUAAAGCCCUAUCAGCAGGGAAGAAGAAAUGACGGUACCUGAGUAAGAAGCACCGGCUAAAUACGUGCCAGCAGCCGCGGUAAUACGUAUGGUGCAAGCGUUAUCCGGAUUUACUGGGUGUAAAGGGAGCGCAGGCGGCACGGCAAGCCUGAUGUGAAAGCCCGCGGCCCAACCGCGGGACUGCAUUGGGAACUACCGGGCUGGAGUGCCGGAGAGGUAGGCGGAAUUCCUAGUGUAGCGGUGAAAUGCGUAGAUAUUAGGAGGAACACCAGUGGCGAAGGCGGCUUACUGGACUGUAACUGACGUUGAGGCUCGAAAGCGUGGGGAGCAAACAGGAUUAGAUACCCGAGUAGUC